AAGACAACUUUACGGAGUUAACGAUUGACGGAGCGAAGCGACGUCAAAGCGUUCAUUAAAGUCGAGUUGGCUUAGGGAUACGUUCGUUGGGUAGGGGAGCGUUCUGUAAGCCUGUGAAGGUGGCCUGUGAGGGUUGCUGGAGGUAUCAGAAGUGCGAAUGCUGACAUAAGUAACGAUAAAGCGGGUGAAAAGCCCGCUCGCCGGAAGACCAAGGGUUCCUGUCCAACGUUAAUCGGGGCAGGGUGAGUCGACCCCUAAGGCGAGGCCGAAAGGCGUAGUCGAUGGGAAACGGGUUAAUAUUCCCGUACUUGGUGUUACUGCGAAGGGGGGACGGAGAAGGCUAUGUUGGCCGGGCGACGGUUGUCCCGGUUUAAGCGUGUAGGUGUGUGUUCCAGGUAAAUCC
rnacentral:rRNA from 1 species